rnacentral:rRNA from 1 species
GUGCCAGCCGCCGCGGUAAUACAGAGAGUGCAAACGUUGUUCGGAAUUACUGGGCUUAAAGCGCACGUAGGCGGCGCCGCAAGUGUUGGGUGAAAUCCCACGGCUUACCCGUGGAACUGCCCAGCAGACUGCGGUGCUAGAGGAUGGUAGGGGAGAGCGGAACUCCUGGUGGAGCGGUGAAAUGCGUAGAUAUCAGGAGGAACACCGGUGGCGAAGGCGGCUCUCUGGUCCAUUUCUGACGCUGAGGUGCGAAAGCUAGGGGAGCAAACGGGAUUAGAUACCCGCGUAGUCC